GGAAGGAUAGGCGCACUGCGCAGGUGUUCUGACUACAGCUCGCCUUUAUAUGUACACCAACCGCAUUAUUAAAACGGUUAAUGAUACUUCUCUGUUAUAUUUUAGCGAACUAGACUUAUAUUACACACUGUUUUCACUCCCGUGGAGCUGACUGAGUGGUAAAAAAUAAUUUGUAUUAAAAAAAAAAAACAACGGUGGCGCUGUUAAGCUAACAAGCACUAGCGCCACCAAGCAGCCACGCCAAGAUGGAGGGAUCUGCUUCCUCGGCCAGCGUAGAGGACGGAGCUGAAAACAAACGCCAUGCUGACGAAGGGACACCUGAAGAGAACGCCGGUCCAUCGACUGAAGAAACCGCUGACAGGAGUGGGGUUUUCUGCUGUCAGCAUUGUGGAGAAGGCUUCAGAGAGGAGGCAGCCUUCUUGAAGCAUUUGCGUGAACAUCCACAAGAAAGCAUGUAUUUGGACAAGCACAUGGAUGAGUUACAUGAUGGAGAAAAGGACAAUGAAGCGCUUCACUUUUGUUCUUUAUGCUCAUCCUCAUUUAUUGACCUGAGUGAAUACCACUUGCAUAUGGAGAAGAACCAUGAUCAGAUCUCUCAAAAGGAGACUGGUAUCCGGAUUAAUGCUGCCAUAGCAAAGCAACAAACUUAUGAAUGUCAGGACUGUGGGAAAUCUUAUGGUGUGAUUGGACACUUUCUCAACCAUCAGCGCUCACACAGACAACCCUCCAAAUCAGUUUUUCAUGACCUUCAGCAUUUGAAAAAGAAGUCGUUUCAGUGCGAAUCUUGUGGGAGAAAUUAUUCUCGUGCUUCAGCUCUUGAUGCCCAUCGUCGUUGUCAUGAGGAAAAGUUGAUUAAGCCCAGAAACAGGAGUUCAGGAGAUGCAAUUCCAGCUGGGGAGUCAUUAGCAGAAACAAAGGCAGGUGAAAGUCAAACGGAGGAUUAUUCUGAAAAGGUUUUUACAUGCUCAUGUGGGAAAGCUUUUUCUGCCCUGAUGCGACUUAAGACUCAUCAGAGAUUUAGCCGCAAUAGUCAGUGCUCUCCUGAAGAAAUGAAACAAAAGCCAAAGAAGAACUGCAACGAGUUUUACUGCAGCGAGUGUAAAAAGGGUUUCAGUGGCCAUAUUGCUCUCUUUAACCAUCAGCGAUGGCAUGCCAAUCAUGGUGAUAAUUCUGCAAAAAGGUUCCCAUGUGAGGAAUGUGGAAAAGUGUUCAUGACUCUUACGUUCUACUACAGGCAUCAGCGCACUGCACACAGUGACGAAACCCCAGCAAAGUCAUUUCACCAUCAGCUGUGCCAGCUACAGAAGAAGGCAUUUGAAUGUAAAGAUUGUGGGCUAAAGUUCUCCAGGUCUUCGGCACUUCAUUCUCAUCAGCUUCAUCACACAGAUGUUUUUAGAGAAACUGAGAAGGAGGCCCAGAUGUGUUCCUCUCUACCUCAAGACCAAAUGGCAGAAAGCGGAAGACCAGAGAUUGACUUGGAAACGUCUACAGAAGGAAAAGUGCAGCUGGACAGUUUGCCUCCGACCAACAUGACUGAAGAGUUGUACAUAGUUGAGACUGAUGAAGACAUGGAAAGUUAUGAACCCGGUGACUUUAACGUACAGGUGAUCAGUGCAAGUGAGUCUGAGGAUGAGCCACCCCAAGAUCUGAAUCCUGACCUGGAGCUGGUGUGUGAAUCCGAUCAGGAGGGAAGAGAUGACAGUGAUAUUGUUUCCAAACCAGAAAUGGACUUGAAAAUUGUACAAAUUGAUUUUGAGCAGGCUGAUGAGCCGAUUGCACUGAUAGCGAGGGAAGCUGAGAAUAAAUCAGCAGAAGACAGGUUUGAUUGUCCAGAGUGUUAUCGCUGGUUUUCUAGUUCUUCAUCGCUGCGUGUUCACAGAAUGUGGCAUGGCGUUUAUAAGAGAAGACAGCAGGCACAAGGUCAGUCAGCGCCUUUUUACACAUGUGACACUUGUGGUCAUGAAGCAAGUAGCUUUGAGGCACACUGCCAUCACAUACAGACCCACGGUGGUCAGAUGCCAAGCAGCGAUGCAUUUCAGGAGGUGGAGGGAUUAGAGAAGAAAAAUCUGACGUGCAGUGAAUGCGGCAAAGUUUUCUCUCGUUUGUCUGCUUUGGUCUCUCAUCAGUUGCAUCAUCCCAAAAGAAAACAGUUCCAGUGCCCAGAUUGCACAAUGUCUUAUUCGCAUGCAGCUAGCCUAUUUAACCAUAUGAAAACCUGCUCUGCACAAAAAAAGGAAAAUAUUUCAGUCAGUAAGAAAGAAUACAAUCCAAAGAAAACCCUACUGGGCCCAAAGAUCUAUCAUUGUGAGCAGUGUGGAAAGGGAUUUUGGUCUUUAGGUGCUUUCUCACACCACAAGCAAAAUCCGACAGAGUGUGCAGAUUUGAGGCUGAGAAAAGGUGUCCCGGGAUCCUCUGUUAAUGGACACCAACGCUCUAGCAUGAAGGUUGCAUGUCCGGUGUGUGGCAGAAAAUUUCGGCACAGAGGCAUCAUGACAUUGCACAUGCGAAAGCAUGAAAAUGGAAAUCACAAAUGCGAACUCUGCAACAGGUCAUUCCGCCUUUUUUCCAGCCUCCUUAGACACCAGGUAGUGCAUAAUGACCAGUUGCUCCCACCACCCAUCAAGUCUUUUCAGCAUCAAGUUGAACAGCUGAAAAAGAACACCUACAGCUGUCCUGACUGUGGGAAGUUGUUUUCACGGGCCAAAGCACUGCAGUUUCAUAUGAAAAGCCAUGGCUAUGAGAGUGGGCAUUCUCCAUCAUCAUCGUGGUCCAGAGUCACGCUGGAGGAUCUACAGUGCGCUACAUGCCUUGCACAUUUCAACAGCAAGGUCUCUUUAAGGGUUCAUCAGAAACUGUGCAUUAAAAGAGACAAUCAAGUCGUUGCAAAUACAGAAAACGAUGAUGCUCUAAGAUUGUGCGAAGGCAGCGUGGAUGCUAGCACAUGGGAAAGCUCUGACCAGUCAAAGGUACGUACACCAGUAAAGAGUGAAAUGGAUGGCACGGAACCAGAGAUGGAAAAUGACACAGGUGAAGGAGAACUGGAAAACCCAACUGCAUCCAAUAUGAAAUACAAAUGCAAAAAAUGUGACAGAAGCUUUUCAGUAGUUGGGGCUUUAAAUUUUCACAAAAGAAUUCAUGCUGAGGGCUACAGGUCUUUACCAAAAUCCAAACUGGCCAUUUCUACAAUGUUAAAAAAACCUAAACAAGAAGAGCAGGGUAAAGGACUGUUUCACUGCUCUGAAUGUGGGAGACGGUUCAUGUCUAACUCAGCCCUGGGCUCCCACAAACGAUGGCACAAAGAAAAGAAAUCUUCGCGGUCCCUGCUAAAAGAUGAUGAUUUGAAAUCUCUUAACCACAAAACCAUAGAUGGAACUUUUCAGUGCAAAAACUGUGGCAAACAGUUUUUUAAUCACCGCGUUCUGCAGCGCCACCAGAUGUUUAAUCCACCAUGUCAAAGCAAAGCUGUACCAGAGCCAGAUUUGAGCAGCAACGAACCAGGCAAGACAUUUGUGCAAGAUUUACUUCCAGCCAAGCACAGUAAAACUUUAGAGACGGGAAACGAGGCGUUUGACCAGGCUCCAGAACAAGUCAAAAUAAAUUGCAGUGAGAGUGAUGCCGUAUUGCUGGCACUGAAGCCAAAACCUCACCAGUGUCCCCUCUGCUCGAUGACCUUUACUAAAGCAAGAGGACUACGUGCUCACAAAUGGCAGGCCCACGCAAAGAGCACAAAAGGCAAACGCAAAGCUGCUUUGCGCAGAAAAAAAGAGCCUGUUGCCUCAAGUAGUGAGAUGAGGAAAACUGGAGAUUCAUCAGCAGCAGAUAACACCAGUGUGAUGUUAAAAAGUAGCACAGUUGACAGAGAUUGGAUGAAAAUCACAUUGGAUUCUCCUGUGAAAUUGUGUCCAGACUCCAGGGAAUGGGGCAUUUCUGAAGGCGCCCCCAACUUUAAGAGAGUUUACCUGGAUGUGAAGCAGGAGUCGAAACUGGAUAAUCAAACUCCUAGAGCUGCAGCUGAGGUUCCUCCACAAGUCAGCUGUGUAUCGGAGAACACAGCCAAAUGCUUCUUCAAGUGUGAUAAGUGCGGGAAAGCUUUCCAAACGGAGGAACAAUUAGGGACCCAUAAGGCAAAGGCACAGAGUCGGCCUUACUCCUGUGCUCUGUGCUGCCAAGGCUUUUGGACUGAGAAUCAGCUACAUCAGCACCUUGCUUGGCACGACGAAGUCCGCUGCCGUCUGCCGAAUGAGGUACGCUAUAGACUGAGUGCUGCUAUGACCUCAAAGCCUCUAAAACCCAAUCCCCCCGCUGCUGACAACAGAGAAAAGUUUUUCCCAUCUUCUAAAGUGAUUCGGCCUACGCUCAACUCAGCGGGCCAGUCACAAAGUAGCCAUAAGUGCCAACACUGUGGCAAAGCCUUUCUUUCACCGACCGAAUUACAGAAACACAAAACGGAGCAGUGCAGCAGCAGUGACUCAUACCAUUGCUCCGUUUGCCCCAGGACCUUCCGUGAAAUCCAAGACCUCAUCGAGCAUCACCAGGAAUGUAUCAGCGAUUACAAAAGACAAAGCGAUGCUCCUGCUGCUGUCUCUGCAGGAGAUUCCAAUGGCCUUACUUGCCUUGAAUGUGGAACUACUUUUUGUCAAGAAACUGAUUUGCACCAGCAUUAUAUUGAACACACCCACAGAGUGAAUUAAAGCAAAGAAACCUGAAAAGACCUGAAACAAUGACUCUGUACAUAGAUGCUGGCUUUUCUGAAACUUCUAAAAAUCUUUGUUAGAAAAUUUCUUUUUUGCACCUUUUACUUUGGCUAAAUAGUUCCUAAUUUGUUCGUAUAGUUUUUGAGAUUCGUUGUACUUAAACAUGUAACACUGGACUAGUAUAUGCUGAGCAGAACUGGCAGGUAAAAUCGGUAACAGAGAUCACUCUAUCCCGUUAUUAAGUUGAUGUUAGUUCUAUUUUGACCUGCACCACAAAUCAAGACCAAGCAACCAGACAGCACCAGAAAGAGCUGCACUGUGCAAGAGUUAAGUUUAAUGAUCUGACUGGUGGUGGUACAAAUGUGAAAAUACAGUGUUGUUUUUUGGGGGGGGAGCACUGAUGUCAUAGAUCUCAUAUUUUUUUGCUGUUUUAAAUUGACCUGUUGUGAAUGUAAAUUGAACUUGAUUAAUUUCUUUGGGGACCACUGUCUUUCAUUUUCAGACAAAUUUAUGCAUGUAAAUUGCCCAGAGAAAUGAAAAAUGCUGUUGACACACUACUUGCAAAGUGUAGAAAGACAUGCUAAACAAUGUUGCGCCACACGCAUGUGCUAAUUUUGCUGCUGUUUUUGUUAAGAACUGAUGUUUUGUUGAAGGAUGAUUGACGUUUUGCAUAUUUUACAGAAAGAAAAAGAACCUGAAAUUCAGCAAUGCGUACUCUUUACAUAACCUGGUAGGAAAAACAAAAUUCUUGUCUAACAUCACUUGGUCACUUCCAUUAUUAUAAACUAUACUACGUUCAUUGUAUGCUUUGUACAAUGCAUUACGCAUUAACUGAUUUAUAAGCUCCUCUGUUGAUUCUUUAUAGUGUUAUUUCUAUUGUGUGAUAAAAUAUUCAUUACUUUAAAGUAGCAGUUAUGUUCUUGUAGUAUAGUUCUAAGUAGUUUGUUAUAUUUAUUUGUUUUUUAUUCCUAGAAGUCAAAGAAGUUGAAAAUAAACGAACUUGUUUUUGCCAUGAUUAAUGGUUGUGUGAUUAAUUCAGUCAGUCUGCAUAUUCUAGUCAUGUCUGGGUUGUUAAUAUUGUUGUUUCCCAUUUCACGAUUACUUAGCUUAUGAAUAUGCCAAUAUGCGGGUGACAUAAAUUGCUCUCGCAUUACUACAUUUCAUAUCUAGCAUGUAUUAAAUAGAACACCUUGAUGUGUCAAAGGAGCAAACUAAAAGUUUGCUACUAAAACAAUGUACAAAUAAGUAAAAGCAUGUGUUGUUGAUCAUAUUAGUUAAGGCUCUGCAGUGAUAUAGGUCCAGUUUCCUCCAAUUUAAAGAUGUUUGCAGUGCCUGCUGUAGCACUGAUCAACAAACAUUUUGUUCCUGGGAUUCUUUCACCUGUACUUCCACUAAUUUCACUUACUGACUCCAAAUAUGAGAGCUGUUUUCUUCUAGCUUCACGUUUUUUGUCGCUGUGAUGUUCCACUGAUUCACUGGAUAACAGGACUGGACAGAAAUGGAGAUGCAUCUCAGUGUUUAAGACAUCAGUGCACUAAAGAUAAAGAACUCAGUGUUGAAUGUAAGGACUGUGGGCUGAAGUUUGCACAGCAGGAGCUCUACGAGACUCACCUGCACCAGCACGC